GGUGGAGCCCGUGCCGGCCUCCAUCCUUUCCACCCGGUACCUCGUACGGCCGGAGUGG
rnacentral:ncRNA from 1 species